CCUACGGGAGGCAGCAGUGAGGAAUAUUGGUCAAUGGACGAGAGUCUGAACCAGCCAAGUAGCGUGAAGGAUGACUGCCCUAUGGGUUGUAAACUUCUUUUAUAUGGGAAUAAAAUGUUCCACGUGUGGGAUUUUGUAUGUACCAUAUGAAUAAGGAUCGGCUAACUCCGUGCCAGCAGCCGCGGUAAUACGGAGGAUCCGAGCGUUAUCCGGAUUUAUUGGGUUUAAAGGGAGCGUAGGUGGAUUGUUAAGUCAGUUGUGAAAGUUUGCGGCUAAACCGUAAAAUUGCAGUUGAAACUGGCAGUCUUGAGUACAGUAGAGGUGGGCGGAAUUCGUGGUGUAGCGGUGAAAUGCUUAGAUAUCACGAAGAACUCCGAUUGCGAAGGCAGUUCACUGGACUGCAACUGACACUGAGGCUCGAAAGUGUGGGUAUCAAACAGGAUUAGAUACCCCUGUAGUC
rnacentral:rRNA from 1 species